rnacentral:rRNA from 1 species
AGGUUAAACCUGCCCAAUGUUACUUCUAUCAAUGGCCGCGGUACUUUGACCGUGCUAAGGUAGCGCAAUCAAUUGGCUUUUAAUUGAAGCCAUGUAUGAAUGGAAUCACGGGGUUUAGCUGUCUCUUAGCUAAUCUAUCGAAAUUACUAUUUAGGUGAAAAAGCCUAAAAAAAGAAAAAAGACGAGAAGACCCUUAGAGUUUUUCUAAAAUUGGAAUUAUUUUUCGAAAAGUUUAGUUGGGGCAACAUAGGAACAAUCAAUAACCUCCUGUAAUUUAUAAACCGAUGAUUAUAAAAAUAAAUAAACUACCUUAGGGAUAACAGCAUAAUUUUAUAAAUAAGUUUGUGACCUCGAUGUUGGACUAGGAAACUGAAGGGCUAGCCGCCUUU